CUAAACUAAAGGUUUAUAAAAUCCCAUGGAAUAUGAGAGUAACAAAGUCCAUUUGUUGCUUAAGCAUGCUGUUCUGCCUCAGCUUCAGAGUAAUACGAGGCGCCUGGCAACAGCAGCUGGGAGCUCCGUGGAAACCAUUGUGUUCCUGUGUGAAGCCAUUGAGUCAUCUGCUGAAAUGGAGCCCAGUACCACUGAUGGCAACCAGGACCUGGCCCUGUUCUGGGAGGAGAGUCCCCCAGUGCAAAGACUCAAGUGUCAGGUCCUGCAGGAUGUGAAGCCCAUCCUCAGACUGACGGCCAGCAGCGAUCACCAAAGGAGUCACGCAACGCUCCUGCAGGUGAUGGCCAGCAGCAGUCGCCUGGAGCAGAAGUUGGAGCGCUAUCUUUGGACCCUGAAGGUUUUUAUGGUCCUGGCCAUGGUCUUGACAGCUUUGUGGGGCUUCACUCUGUACAUCCACUAUUCAGCUGGCUAUUUGAACUGCUGGACCACGGCUAAAAACUGAGGCAGUUUGGAAAUGUUCUUCUGGUGUGUGUUUGACCUGCAACUGAUUUUCUCUUAACUGAAAUUCUGGACUCCUGGAAGUUUACAUCUUUUUACAUUGUGAUGUUUAUGUGGGUCUAUAUGGAUGCAGCUAUACUCCAGAGGCAUAGAUAAUGCACGCACACUGUGGAAACUAAUUUCCCUCCUGGGGACAAUAAAGUCUUUCUCAUCUAUCCAUCUCGUUCAUAAAUUCAUAACCCGGGAAAAUAACUUCUGGACAUUGUAUUGCUGUCUGGUCUCAUAUCAUGUCUUCCUUCAAACCAAUUUGAAUUCAUUGGACGUCCUCAAACGAGUUCUUGAAAGACGUUGGAAGUGCUUAAAUUUGACAUCCAGUUGUUUUUUGGACCCCUGCUUCAAGGGGGGAAAAAAAUAAUCAAAGAGCCGGUAAGUUUGGCUUCCCGUACAUGUUCUAUAAUACUAUGGUUGGGUUUAUUUCUUUAAGAAUGAUGCUUUAGCAGAAAUGAAUGCUUUUCAUUUGGAACCAUUGUUAGAAAUCCCCCCCACCCAAUGCAACACUGAGUCCCAUCACACUUCUAGUGUGUAAGAACAGAGAUGAGCGGGGGGAGAAGGGUGUCGUCUGCUGUAUCGAUAUGGAGAGG
rnacentral:lncRNA from 1 species